GCGGAAGGCCCUUCGGGGUACUCGAGCGGCGAACGGGUGAGUAACACGUGAGCAACCUGCCCCAGGCUUUGGGAUAACCCCGGGAAACCGGGGCUAAUACCGAAUAUGACCUUGCACCGCAUGGUGUUUGGUGGAAAGUUUUUCGGCUUGGGAUGGGCUCGCGGCCUAUCAGCUUGUUGGUGGGGUGAUGGCCUACCAAGGCGACGACGGGUAGCCGGCCUGAGAGGGCGACCGGCCACACUGGGACUGAGACACGGCCCAGACUCCUACGGGAGGCAGCAGUGGGGAAUAUUGCACAAUGGGCGGAAGCCUGAUGCAGCGACGCCGCGUGAGGGAUGACGGCCUUCGGGUUGUAAACCUCUUUCAGCAGGGACGAAGCGUAAGUGACGGUACCUGCAGAAGAAGCGCCGGCCAACUACGUGCCAGCAGCCGCGGUAAGACGUAGGGCGCGAGCGUUGUCCGGAUUUAUUGGGCGUAAAGAGCUCGUAGGCGGCUUGUCGCGUCGACCGUGAAAACCUGGGGCUCAACCCCAGGCCUGCGGUCGAUACGGGCAGGCUAGAGUUCGGUAGGGGAGACUGGAAUUCCUGGUGUAGCGGUGAAAUGCGCAGAUAUCAGGAGGAACACCGGUGGCGAAGGCGGGUCUCUGGGCCGAUACUGACGCUGAGGAGCG
rnacentral:rRNA from 1 species